ACAAAAGCGCUUCUAACAAUAACGCUUAUGAGCAGAUUACUUUCUAUAGAAGCAGUCCCAAACAGGCCCUCAUAGCAUCAUAUUAUUAGCAUGUGUCCUGUUGUGCAUUAGUUUGUUUACUUAGAUUCUGUAAUCAAAUUGCACCCAUUUUUAGUUACACCAUCUUAAAGUUAUAUGAUAUUAGUGGGGGAAGGUGGAGAUCAACAUGGAGAAAUAUUGCAUACAUAGGGAGAUUUUCUCUUGCCAAACUUUUUGGCAUGUUUUUCAAUCUUUACCAUUAAUCAGGUAGAGUCUUGUUUAAAUGUGCUGUCCAAAUUGGCAUUCUGGUAACAUGGUAUGCCAUGUAUUUUGCUAGAAAAUAUUACUAUAUAUGUUAUAAUUUGCUCCUGGCCAUUUAUUUUCAUCUAUACAUUUUACUGAACAUUUGUAUCUAGCUUAGGAAGUACUCACUACUUUUCUUCUAUCUUUCUCUUAACCAAUGUGUAGUAGCCACCCAGGCGUUGCCUUUCAAGAUUUUAAUAACCAUUUCACUUUUCCCUAUGUUUGGGCCAGUCGGUUUUGACAUAGUCCUUUUUCAGCCCUGUUAAGUGAAAGUUCAGUAACUCAGAAAAAAGAAUUGCAGCCGAAAUACCCAGGAAGUGGUUAAGAGAUUCCUUAUAGCAAAUGUUGCUUAUUCCCUUUAUUGAACAGAAAUGUGAUAAUCCUAUGGGAACUGCAAUUUAGAGACUUAGAGAAACCAUGGAAUAUAGUGCCCUGAGAAGUCCCACUCCCAAUAUGAUCGCUCCAAUGGAUUGCUUCCCUCAGUUUGAAUUCUUCUCAUUUCGUCAGGCAAUGAGUAAAAGUUGUUCUUGGCAUUUGCCAAAGGUAGCUCAAAAUUUUACAGUUUCCGUCUAAAAUGAAAAGGCAAAGGAGUUUGAGGCAAUGAGGUAUAACAUGUUCUAUGUUCUAAUUGAAGAUUUAGCAUUUGAUAGAGUGGAUCAAAACUCAUAAGAAUAGGUUUCUCACGGCCUUAUUCCAACAUAUUGGACAUUCUGUUCUUGGGUUUGUUGAUGGUGAUUGGUCACCAAAUUAACCU